UACGAAGGGGGCGAGCGUUGUUCGGAAUCACUGGGCGUAAAGCGUGCGUAGGCGGCGAUGAAAGUUAGAAGUGAAAGCCCAGGGCUUAACCUUGGAAUUGCUUUUAAAACUCCAUUGCUUGAAUCUCGGAGAGGAUAGCGGAAUUGUCAGUGUAGCAGUGAAAUGCGUAGAUAUUGACAGGAACACCAGUGGCGUAAGCGGCUAUCUGGACGAGUAUUGACGCUGAGGUACGAAAGCGUGGGGAU
rnacentral:rRNA from 1 species